AAAAAAGAUAGGAGAAUUUAUCUUAGACAUUUACUUUCUAUAUAAAUAGGAAUUGAAGUUUGAGGAUCCAUUAUACGGAUUGAGGUGUGCACUAGGUAAAUCAGAUAAGGUGAGUAUAGAAAGGAGAUUUUUGACAUGUUAAUUGUAUGAUACAAUAAGCUUAGCUACUAAUAGAUCAUAGAUUUUAUUAAUUUGCACAACUAGAAAAGGAAAAGUUAGAAUCUUUCAAGAAAAUUUUAGAAAAAAAAUGAAAGUGAAAGAAAAGAGAUAAAAGAGAGAGCAAUAGAGAAAUGUAGGAAUAAGAUAGGAUAGAGUAGAAGAGCUAACUAUUUAUAAGGUAAACAUAGGAUGAUACCAUUGAAAAGGAGAAACUAGUCACUAACAUCCAUUAACAUGGGAACAUGAAUUUCAUGCACCAAAAUGCCCUCAUUAAAAGCUUGUGACUAUGUUCAUUUAUCACAAUUAAGCACACACUACAAUGAAGUUUUUAAGAAUUUUCAUAAAUGAUCAUAAACAUGGUGUUUGAAUAGUUAAGAUUCUUACAUUUUUUUGGAAGAUAACAAGUCUGUAUCUUAUUAAAAUGUAAAAUUUAUCACUUUU
rnacentral:lncRNA from 1 species